rnacentral:tRNA from 1 species
GUCCAGGGUAGCCUAGUGGACAUGGCACCUGCCCGGUAAGCCGAAGGUUGUGGGUUCGAUUCCCGCCCUGGACA